rnacentral:lncRNA from 1 species
UAACAUUGUCAAUUUCUUAUUUUGAGAAUGAUUCCUCUAGACACUGAAGGUUUGUCUCGCUUUGUAGUAAUUGUUGUAAAUCAAGAUACAUGUGGGUGUAUUCUGAUGUACCCAUUCUGUCUUUGAACAAUUUCCAUAAUAAUUCAGCUUUUGCUUCAUGCUUUGUGAUUUGCAUUCCAUCAUCCGAGUAUAGAUGUGUGAUAGAAUUCUUUCGGUUUCGAACUGAUGCUUGUGCAUGGAAGAAUCUGGUACACUCAUCUCCUGACUUGAUCCACCUGACUUUCCCCCUUUGCUUCCAGUAGAUUUUUUGUUGGUGUAAUAGAUUUUCCAGAUGCUGCUGUAUUUCUUUCCUGAAGUUCCAUUCUUCAAUAGUCAGGUCUCUAGAUCCCUC